AAAUUUGAACUCCUCGCCGUUGAUUUACCGGCGGCAUUCGUUUUACUCGACGUCGUUUUUCUCUAGUUCGUCUCGGUUGAAUGCUAACUUUGCCGCAGAUGAUUUGCUGCUCGGCGAUCAAUUAGCUACCUUGGCUUCCAAAGCGGAGACGUCUCAGAAUCUACUUCAGCCUGGUGUCGUUGUCUAUGACGGCGUUUGUCAUCUCUGUCACAACGGUGUGAAAUGGGUGAUUAAAGCUGACAGGGAUAAGAAAAUCAAGUUCUGUUGCUUGCAGUCAAAGGCUGCUGAACCUUACAUGAGUGUGUGUGAUCUUGAUCGAGAUGACGUUCGUCGUCGCUUCUUAUUCAUUGAAGGCCCAGGUUUAU
rnacentral:misc_RNA from 1 species